GAAUCAAAAAUUAUAAGCACGGAGACAAUGCCACAGUUGACUGAUCUGUAUGCUAACAGUAGUUAAUUGCCAGUGUCGCCUGAUUACGGUGUCACCAGUUUCCAAGAUUAAUAUAUUAUAAUAAGGACAUGACAGGAAGUCCGUUGUUUGUGUGCUAUUUAGCGAUGAACUUGGGAUGUCGAAAUUCAGUCUACAUUU
rnacentral:snoRNA from 1 species